GUAGUUUGUCCUGAACUGAGUGUGGUGCAAAGAGUGAAACCUGUUACAUAUUAGAAACAUGUAUGUAUGUCAGAUGUUAGUUAGUUGCUUAAUAUUAAAACUUAUAACUAAUUGAUUCCAGAGAUUAAUAAUUAUGCAGUAACAUUGUACAAAACUAAUGUUGGCUAUUGCGAUCUAUGUGGGAUGGCUCUCGAAUCUGUCCAUCACCUAAUGUUGUGGUGUGCUAAACCUUGGAGAUUCUGGACUUCUAUCUUGGCUAGAGAUGGGGUUCAAUGGUGUGUUCCGGGUUCUGUUGGUGACUUGUUCAAGGAAUGGCCUUCCCUUCGUGCUAAAUCUGAUCGUGUGCUGUGGGAACUUGUGCCAUGUGCUGUGGUCUGGUCAAUUUGGCUAGCCUGUAAUGAUUUGGUUUUUAACCAAAAGGAAUUUGUUUAUGAGCAUGUGUGGGACCUGCACUUGUUAAGGGUUAUGUCGUGGACAAAAGCAUGGUGGAAAGGUUGUCCCUACUCUAUUGUUGAUUUCUCUCAAAAUUUUGAAAACAUUAACACUUUGGGGAAAGUGAGUAAGAUAAGAAACUGUGCUUGGUGCCCUCCGGAGGCUAAUAUUCUCAAAUUUAAUGUUGAUGGUUCUGCUAGAGGAUCCCCCGGCAUUAGCGGUGCCGGUGGAAUUCUGAGAAACGCGGAGGGCGCUGUAUUGGGCAGGUUUUCUAAACCUUUGGGGGUUUCUUGGGCUUACCAAGCUGAAGUAAAAGCCAUUCUUCUGGCGCUGAUUUUUUCCAAAGAAUUUGGGUUCUCUCAAGUUCUGGUUGAAAGUGAUUCCACACUUGCGGUGGGUUGGGUCCGUUGCAAAUCCAAUAGACCUUUAGCGCUUAUAAAUGAUCUGAAUGCUAUCGAUUGGAUUAUGAAGGAAGUUGCUUGCGUGGGAGUGACUCAUACACUUAGAGAAGCAAAUGGUGAGGCCGAUGAAUUAGCAAAGUCAGGGUGCGAUAGAAUUGAACCAAUCUGGGAGAAGCUGAACUGAAUUUUCCUUACUCUAUGACUAUAUAUAUUUUACUGCAUGUUUUCGUUUCAGCUCCUCUGCCAAUGGUAGUGUUUCACUGCACUGGUAUUUGCUCAUUAUGCUGUGAUCAUGAAGCUGUGUUAUUUGCUAGUUCCUACUGUUUGGUAUCCAAGCUGAUUGGUCUACUGAAGCUUGGCUCAUGGCUUUCUAUAAUGGAGGGGAAUUGUUUGAAGGCUGCACUCUCUUGAAUGCUUUGCCCCCAUUAUUAUUCUCAAUUUCUACCCCUUGUAAUGCUUUAUGUUAUGCAUCUUCGCAAUUUUUCUUUUUGCUGUCUAUGUGGUCCUUUGUGUGGAACUUUGGUGCUGCAUCUUGUUCUGUUUCUUUGAGCUACCUUCUUGCUCUUGGUUACCUCUCCUUAUCAAUAAAGUUUUGCUUCCAAAAAAACAUUGUACAAAACUUGUACAAAUCAGAAUGUAUGAAAAAUAAUUGAUAUUAUUUUAUUUUUUAAAUUAAUAAACUAAAAUGGUAAAGUUUGCUUCACCACUCAAUUAAGCCACAUCUAGUGAGAGACUUGAAUAGAAUAGAAGAGAAUGAAAUAGGAUAUAUGAUGUGUGAUGUGAUGAGAAGUGAAUGAAAGUGAGAUGAAAAAAAUAUUAAAUUUCAAAUUCAUUAGCAAAAAUCAAGAGUUCUUCUAGUGAAUGACUGAAUGUGAUAAGGGUAUUAGUUAAGGGAUCAAAAUAUAAAGAUGCAACAUUUAAUGUUAUAAAUACAACUACUUUUUACAAUACAAACUUAAUUUUACCAACUUUUAUCUGUUUUUUUUGCAUUUUUUAUAGCAUUCAUUGGCAUUGAUUUGUUGAAUAGUUGAAUAUGUACGUAGUAUGCCUUUUCACCAACAUAAAGCAGCUGGCAGUUAGGGAUUGAAGGUUGUAUUAAUUGGACUCUCAAGUCUCAACAAUCAUGGCUAGGUCUCUAGAAAAAAUAUCACUUACGUCUGUGAUAAUUUUAUUUAUUUUUAUCCGAAAAUGGUAGAACAGAGAAAAAACACCUCUAAAUUAUUGGGUAGGAUGUCAGUUGCAUGUUGAGGAAACUAGUAGGGGCUCACUCUUGGAAGGAGCAUCAGGGGAUCUCCCCGAUGAGGGUUGUCCAUCAACUGGGAUUUUACUGACCCAGAGGGAUUCAAACCCUCAACCUAUGAGGAGGUGAGAGUUAAACCCGGAACCUUAAAUUAGUUGCGCCAACUCAUGUUGUAAGACCUGGAUUUUCAGAACAAGCUAAUUUCCGACUCACGCGUAGAAUCAGUGUAAGCGUGACAGGAGUUUGAUAUUUGAGAAAGAUUAAUGAAGAAGAAAGUUCAGGAAUUUCUUGAGGAAUGUUGCGUAGUCAUUUUAGGAAUUAGAGCGAGUCGUCUGCACACCCGCCUUAUGGCAAGCGUGUCCAGAAUAGGCUAAUUUCGCUUUAGAGCAACGUUUUAAGUGAGAUUUCGAAUCCUUGGAAAAUUUAAAGUUUUUCUUUAUUUUUCCUUCGACCAGCGUUUCAUUUCGGAACUCUGGACUGUACGCACGAUAGUAUUCACUUUUCGGAAGUCCGACGACGCUAAUUUCCUUGCUUCGAAACCCUAGAUUCGAGCGAUGGAUGAAGACUUUUUCUAUUCGGGACUUCUAACGAAGUUUCCGUCCGCGUUGCCAGAUUUGUUUCGACAUUUCCAAUCUUUCUUUAGAAGGAAGUUUUGUCGUCUGAGCAUCACAGCAAAAAGUAGUUUAACGGGACAGAUUAACUUACACCGCCUUUGGGAUUUUAGAUAUCGUUUUUCCCAAAUCAUAGAUAAUUGUUUUGAGUUCUGGAAUUCUGACGCCAGAAUCUCUCUUAGAAUUCCUCGGUGGACGUGCUGCAAAAAUCGGAAUCGCGAAAUUUUCAUUUUCCCGCGAUUUCACCUGCCUAUAAAUAGCUCGAAAAAGCAAAAUCUCUUCAUUCUCACCCAUUCAAGGCCGCGAGCAAGGAGAGAGGAGGAGAGGAGAAAUUUUCGCGAAAACUUGACCAAUCUUCGUGCAGUUCGUCCCUACUUCUAGGUAUUGAGGUAACUAGCAUGAAUCCUACCUCUGUUUACUGUUUCUGUUGCGUUUCUGAAGUCGUUUCUGUGCUCACAGUUUUGAGCUUUUUCUAAAAUUGUCCGAUUUCCUUGAUUUCUUGGUUGGAUUAUGUUCCUUAUGUUCCCAUGAGUCUAAAACCUCUGUCAGUAAUCGCCGAUUGCGAUUCAGUUGUCUAAGAUCUGAAAAAUUGAUUCAAAACCCCAUUAGUCGCACAUUUCGAAACUUUAUUGUCGAAAAGCUGUAAUCUGACUUCGUGCCUUUAGGAUUUGUUGUCACGGAUGUCAUGAGGAUCAAUGCUGUCAAAUUUGUUUUCCGAACUGAUAACUUUGAAGUUUUGAGCCUUUAUUUUGGACCAAAAUGCCCCUGGAUAGUCGUAUUUCGACCCGAUUGUCCGAAAAUUGUUCCGACAAUUUCUUUGCCUUAGUUUUACCCUAAAACUACCUUGUGAAUUGAUUUAGAUCGAAGAAAAAGUUCGAAAACCCUAUUUUCCAUAGUGCCCGAAACCUAAUUGCUUGGGUACCGUGUCCAAAAAUAAUUUUUGGGUCUCUAUGACCUGAGCCAUUGCGUAGCUCUUUCAAUUGUCGAAAUUUUGGCGCCGGUUUCGUGUCAUUCUGAGUUCUGUAGCUCGAGUUAUGCUCGUUUUAGCGAACGAAGUCUCCGUUGUCAAUUUGUGCCUAAAUAGGAACUCUGAAGCUUUAGAGGCUUUCUUUACGAUUUCGAUUAGUAUUAGUAGAUCGUGUUGCUCCUAGUGAAGCUUGUGUUGAUGAUUGUGUUUUCUUUGUUCUAGGUUCGCAAUUUCCAUGCCCAACUUCUACUCACGAAGGUAAGGGUAACUCGGUUUUAGAGCGUCUUUGAGUCUUUCAUGCUUUUAUCGCACUGCCUGUGUUUGAGAUGAAGAUGUUUAUAUUGAUUGGCAGAUGAUUAUGAUUAUUAUGCUGAAUUUGGAAAAUGUUUUCUGAGAGGCUUCGGCCGUUUACUGGUUUCUGUCGUUACUGCUUCCUAGUGGAUGGAACAUGUGGUUACUUUGGAUUGGUCCUUGGGUGGGCUUUGUUAUUGUCUGACUUGGCAUAUAGGGCUUGAGUCAAGUGGCGAUGAGGAGGUGUGUCCUAUCAUUGUCCCAUCUUGCGAGAUGUUAAGUGGCGAUCAGGAGGUGUGUCCUAUGAUUGUCCCGUCUUAUGUGACGUUAAGUGGCGAUUAGGAGGUGUGUCCUAUGAUUGUCCCGUCAUGUAUGACGUUAUAAGUGGCGAUGAGGAGAUGUGUCCUAUCAUUGUCCCGUCUUGAGAGACGAUAUUGAUCGAUCCAUUUUGUUAGCAGCAUAUAGUUGCAUUAUAGGGAACUAACACCUGACCCUAUGUUGUUGGAUUUUCGUAUUGGUUUAUUGAUAUCUGAUUUGAUGUUACAUUGUUGAGGUUAUUAUUAUCUGAGUCCGAUUUAUGUUUAAGUUGUUGAUAUAUGAGUUGAGUUAUGUUGCUAGUUAUUUACCAUGCCAGGUAAUUAAAUUCGAACAGCAUGAUUUUUCUCUUUUAUACAUGGUAAUUGCAUGGAGUUAACCCUUUCUAUUUGCUACUUGUUGUUUGGGCGCUUAACGCUAUUAGGCGAUGGAGAUCCUUCCGCCGAGGCAUAGCUACUCGAGUUGGAGAUCGAGUUGUAAGCGGUGGAGUAGAGGUAUGAGAAGCAGCUUUGCUUCUCUUCUUGUGGAUUAUGUUGGAGUCUCUUUUACUUUAUGAGAACUCUGUUAUUAAAGUCUUGCUUCCGCCACUGUUAAAGUGCGCAUGUUCAUUCUGAACCUUACUUAUGGUAUUGUAAACUAUUAUUACUGUAUAUCGGGAAACAAGUUAUCUAAAUAAAGUUAUGGUAUGUUUCCAACCUUUUAACCGAAGUGUUUAGUUGUUUUACAGAAAAAAAAUUCCCUUGGUUUUUAGGGAUUGCAGAUUGGUCCUUAGACUUUGUUAGGUUACUAAUGUGACUCCUCAGUUGAGAAAUUGGGGUGUUACACAUGUUGACUCGACUUGAACAUUCACAUAGCAUCAAUAAUAAUUUAAAAUAAGUUUGAAAAAAAAAUUAAAAUAAAAAACUGCUACGGGCUAAAUAUUAGUUCUAUAUUUAAUAUGAGUCAAAACAUUCACACAUUAGUCAUUAGUGUUAGAGAUAAAUAGGCAUAAUUUAGGAUAUUUUCUUUAUUUAUCUCUAACAAUUAGUGACACGAAUAAUAUGAUAUAAUGCAGAUAUUUGCUUUUGAAAUUAUAGAAAUUUCACUAUUAAAGGAAAAUAAAGAAAGCUGAAUAUAUUAUUUUAUUAUAUAUACCUGAAUUUUAAAUGCAUACAUAAUAAAACUAUAUGGAUGCAAGUGACAUUAUAUAAAUAAACACUUACGAUGGAGUGUACAUGAGAUACUUGAGUGGGGGAAAGACAUCAAAGAGCCAUUUUGGAACAAUCUCAAAAUUGCAGUGACCCAUAUUGUUCAUAACAUCAAUGUAGGUGACAUAUCCAACCAUGGCCGCCACAGAGCUUGUUCUUGUG
rnacentral:lncRNA from 1 species